CGAUAGAGACCUGAGCAUUUGUUUCCUGUAAGCAGGUUUAUCUGCUCAGUGCAGGUAUGCGCUGCUUGUAGGUAUCUGGGCUGUUGCUAUUGUGGACCCUGAGCAAAGGAGUCAAGAAAUGGGACAUAAGCCAGCUAGAAAAAAAGGGGCCUGGGGCCUGCACAACAGUGUGGCUGAAUGACAUCAAAAGUGAUCCUGUCAGCAGGAGGAAUAGAGAAACCACUCCCAGAUUCCAUAAGGUGUAGUGUCCUUGCUCUGGACUCCCACAGCACCGCACCUGUAGGUACGGAGGUAUGCACAGAACACCGUGCGGUCGCCCCAACUAGACUGUGAGCUCUUCAAAGACAGGAAGUGUUUUUUCUGCUCUGUGCCUCAGUGCUCAGCACAUGACAUAUGCACUCAAUAAACUUUGAUGACUGAAUGAACAAG
rnacentral:lncRNA from 1 species